GUCAAAGGCAGUGAAAGAGUCUGAAGAAAAGAAGCGCAAGAGACGGACGAGCAGAAGCCUGACACACGUUCAAAACCACACAAGAAAAAUGCCCAACUUUGAAGGCACCUGGAAAAUGAAAGACAGCCAGAAUUUUGAGGAGCUGCUCAAAGCCCUGGGUGUGAACGCCAUGCUGAGGAAGGUAGCAGUGGCGGCUGCGUCCAAACCCCAUGUGGAGAUAAAGCAGAACGGAGAGAACUUCUACAUCAAGACCUCCACCACAGUGCGCACCACAGAGAUCAAUUUCAUCAUCGGAGAGGAAUUUAACGAGGAGACAGUGGACGGGAGGAAGUGUAAGAGCUUGGCCACUUGGGAAACAGAAAACAAGAUUUACUGCAAACAGACUUUGGUCAGCGGGAAUGGCCCCAAGACCUUCUGGAGCCGAGAACUCAAAGGAGACGAACUCAUACUGAUCUUUGGAGCCAAUGAUGUGGUCUGUACCAGGAUUUAUGUACGAGUGUAGCAGACGUCCAGGUCCUUCGGAGCUCAAGUUUCCUUCAUGAAAAAAACUCUUUCAGUGUCUAACUGACGGGGUUUUGGAAAAGUAGAAAAGACAAAGAUGAGGUCUCAGCAGAAGACUCCCCUCGUUUAUAUGUGACCACGAUGUAAAGCUUCAUGUGUUUAACAAACAAAAUGUAAGAAAUGAAAAAAGAAGGUGGCCAACUGAGUUUCAGUCUAUUCCAAGGAUAUUUUAAUGCCAAAUACCAUACUAACACUCAUGAACAACAUCAUAAAAGUCAAGAGAAGAGACAAAUAAAACGAGGUACAAACAAUGUUUUUCUAUGUACAACCAGCUCUGCAGGACUUCCUGUGUUGUUCUGUAUUAAACAGGAAAUAGAAAAAUAAAAACCCAGGACAUACACUGUU